GAGUUUGAUCUUGGCUCAGAGCGAACGCUGGCGGCAGGCUUAACACAUGCAAGUCGAGCGCCGUAGCAAUACGGAGCGGCAGACGGGUGAGUAACACGUGGGAACGUGCCUUUUGGUUCGGAAUAACUCAGGGAAACUUGAGCUAAUACCGGAUAAGCCCUUCGGGGGAAAGAUUUAUCGCCGAAAGAUCGGCCCGCGUAAGAUUAGCUUGUUGGUGAGGUAACGGCUCACCAAGGCUACGAUCUUUAGCUGGUCUGAGAGGAUGAUCAGCCACAUUGGGACUGAGACACGGCCCAAACUCCUACGGGAGGCAGCAGUGGGGAAUAUUGGACAAUGGGCGCAAGCCUGAUCCAGCCAUGCCGCGUGAGUGAUGAAGGCCUUAGGUUGUAAAGCUCUUUUAGCAGGGACGAUAAUGACGGUACCUGCAGAAAAGCCCCGGCCAACUUCGUGACAGCAGCCGCCGCCGUAAC
rnacentral:rRNA from 1 species